AGCCAGGAUGGUCUCGAUCUCCUGACCUCGUGAUCUGCCCAGCUCGGCUUCCCACAGUGCUGGGAUUACCGGCGUGAGCCACCGUGCCUGGCCACAAACGCCCAUUUAAGGUGCUUUUAGAAGGAUCCACAUGGGGACAGAAUGUUGUUUGUUCUCCACGAGAUCAAGCCCACAUUCUAGGGUCUGCUCUUUAGCACCCAAUUCCUGCCACUGGUAUUUCUCUUCUGGCUCUUUUUGGUGAUUAUAACCUAAAAGUAGGCUCAUUAAAGGACAAAGAGAAGGCCUUGGAGCCUCUGGAGAACCAGAAAGGCAGGCCUGGGGCUUUGGCAUCAAGGACCACCACCCAGAUGGUGCUCCCAACAGAUCCAGCCAAGAUGCCAUGGCUGUGUGAGCAUUUGCUUGUGGGGACAGCCUGCACCGCAGGCCCCACCAGAAUGGGCCCUGGGCAGUCCCUCCUUCUUACUCCAAGUCUGAUAGGCAGAGCCCACAUCCUGGACCUACACUGAGCUGCAGGGGCCCUGGGAAGCCAGCACUGCAGUGAGAGCCACUACAGUGGAAAGAGGCAGCCAAACACUGGCCACAGCCACAGUCCCCAUGUGUGGAAAAACUAUGAGGUGGAUUCCAGAUGAUCUCAGGCAACUGAGAGGAGCUAUCCAGGGACCAGUGUGAGCAAAGCAGCUAACUGCACGAGGACAAGGAGGACUAACCGAGGGCCAAGCCCAGCAGGCAGCGGACAGGGCUUCAGGGACAACUGCAGUGACAGGCACUUUAGGAGAGACCACGUUGCUAUGUUCACAUUACCUGUCCCAGAAAUGCCCGGGCCAGGGGGACUGCUGGCUGGUCGAAAAACUCCAACCCCAGUCGGGUAAGGUGGCCCUUCGGGCUUGAGAAAUAGAUGCUGCAGUAUGGGCCCAGGGUGGUGGGUGGUCCCAAACAGGGCUCCUUGGGGCAAGGCGCCUGGGCUGUGUCAGACGGGCUGUGUGGCUGCUCCGCUUUGGCUAGUCGCUGCUUUUUUUGCCCCAUCCUUCGGGAAAACUGUAAUGGGAAAAAUAAAUAAAUAAGCAUCCAAAUAG